CCAGACGGCCGGAUGGCCGCUCCGGUCGCGGUUUGGUCCGCGACCGGGGAGGAAAGUCCGGGCUCCACGGAAACACGGUGCCGGGUAACACCCGGCGGGGGCGACCCUAGGGAAAGUGCCACAGAAAGCAAACCGCCCACCGAAGCCCUCGGGCGAAGGCGGGCAAGGGUGAAAGGGUGCGGUAAGAGCGCACCGCGUUCCCGGCGACGGGAACGGCACGGCAAACCCCACCGGGAGCAAGACCGAGUAGGGACGGCACGCCCGAGGCCCUUCCUUGGAAGGGCAUUCGGCAAGCGCGUUUCCGCGCCGCUGUCCGGGUAGGUCGCGCGAGGCGUCCGGUAACGGGCGUCCCAGAUGAAUGGCCAUCCCUCGCCGGUCCGCUUGCGCGGACCGAUCGAGGACAGAACCCGGCUUACAGGCCGUCUGGCCCA
rnacentral:RNase_P_RNA from 1 species